UUGGAGGGCAGUCUGGUGCCAGCAGCCGCGGUAAUUCCAGCUCCAAUAGCGUAUAUUAAAGUUGUUGCAGUUAAAAAGCUCGUAGUUGAAUUUCGGGAUCAGCAGGUUGGUCUUGCCACUGGUAUGUACUAGCUUGCUGAUUCCUCCUUCUUGUAGAACCGUAAUGCCAUUAAUUAGGUGUUGCGGGGAAACAGGACUGUUACUUUGAAAAAAUUAGAGUGUUUAAAGCAGGCUAGCGCCUGAAUACAUUAGCAUGGAAUAAUGAAAUAGGACGUUCGAACCUAUUUUGUUGGUUUCUAGGAUUGACGUAAUGAUUAAUAGGGAUAGUUGGGGGCAUUAGUAUUCAAUUGUCAGAGGUGAAAUUCUUGGAUUUAUUGAAGACUGACUACUGCGAAAGCAUUUGCCAAGGAUGUUUUCAUUAAUCAAGAACGAAAGUUAGGGGAUCGAAGACGAUCAGAUACCGUCGUAGUCUUAACCAUAAACUAUGCCGACUAGGGAUCGGAUGAUGUUAAUUUUUUAAUGACUCAUUCGGCGCCUUACGGGAAAC
rnacentral:rRNA from 1 species